GUGAACUGCGCAGAACAUCGCUUGAAAACUUUUUCCGAUUUCAAAGGAAAAAUUCCCUUCAGCAUUUCGGAAAUCAAGUUAAAAGAGCUGCAGCAGAAGAGGCUUAGUCCAAGGAUGAGUCCGAUCCACGAGAUGUGAGAGGACGAAUGGUUGUCAGUCUUCCGUGGCAGUGCCCAGCAGUCCAGUGGCAGUGCCCAGCAGUCAUAGGCCAGCAGCUCUAACUGAGGGAUGGACCGACUCCCUUCCCGCGGCUGAACCCGGCAUCCUCCCAUCGAUGUAUACAAGCCACCUGUCCUACUUCUACCGGCAUCGUGACUAGUCCUCCAUGGUGACGAACAGUAACUCUGGACCUAGAGUGCUUAUAAAUCAGGAUGUAUAGAUGCAACAGAAAUGAACAAGGAUAGAGUAUUCCGUAGGGAGUUUUCGCAAAAGAGUAGGGACAAUCCAGGAUGAAUGAGUGUACAUGUAACAGUUUUAAAUAACCUAAGAUAUAGUGUUCUGUGGACUGAUGAAUAUAUUAUGCGCAUUAAUCUCUUAGUUGUUGAUGUACACCAACCAACAGGGAAGGACUUGUUGCCAGAGGAACAUUUCCUUACUACUCCA